GUGGCGCAAUGGUAGCGCGUCUGACUUCAGAUCAGAAGGUUGCGUGUUCAAAUCAUUUC
rnacentral:tRNA from 1 species